rnacentral:rRNA from 1 species
AACGAACGCUGGCGGCAGGCCUAACACAUGCAAGUCGAGCGAACCCUUCGGGGUUAGCGGCGGACGGGUUAGUAACGCGUGGGAAUAUACCCUUUGGUACGGAAUAGCCUCGGGAAACUGAGAGUAAUACCGUAUGUGCCCUUCGGGGAAAGGAUUAUCGCCAAAGGAUUAGCCGCGUUGGAUUAGGUAGUUGGUGGGGUAAGUGGCCUACCAAGCCUACGAUCCAUAGCUGGUUUGAGAGGAUGAUCAGCAACACUGGGACUGAGACACGGCCCAGACUCCUACGGGAGGCAGCAGUGGGGAAUCUUAGACAAUGGGCGCAAGCCUGAUCUAGCCAUGCCGCGUGGACGAUGAAGC